rnacentral:misc_RNA from 1 species
CAUGGAAGCAAGGCUGUAAAUCAUGUGUUCAUCUUCACAAUUUUUUGAAACCUUUUUCUGUUACAGUAUAGUUUCUUGGAGUUCCUUAUGAGAAAUGAAGUAAUUCAUUGAAUCACAUGUAACUGUCCUCUGUCCUUUGGUUUGCUUCAAUUUUGGUUCGAUUAUUCUGCCAUUUCCUAAGUUGGUUUGUCAUAUAAUUAUAGGGAAGAAGAAUAUAGAAAAUGACAUAAGGACUUUGUAUUUUUUUUCUUGAUUUGGGUAUUGGGAAACAGGAAAUCUGCACGUGACCCAAUAUUUACGCUAGUGAUUGACCUUGUGUCCUGGAAAUAUUUGGCCUUUUUCCUGCCUUUUAGGAUUAGAAGAGUAAACUUUUUUCUCUUCUUAUUUUGUUGGCCCUCUAAUUAGGUUAAACUCUGCCAAUAACUUUGUUAGAUAUAUGCUCUUCUGGUUAAUACAAAACUAUGAUUUGGUUUAACUCCGGCUGUAAGAUGUAAGCAAUGCUGAAUAGAACUCUCAAACUAGUUGGUAAGGAACAUGUUACACCGAAACAAUUGCAUGAAGUUGGGGAUUCCAUGUAGGGAACCUUAGACGGUAGUAUGUGCAUCAAGUUUAUCAUACUACACUGAUGUUUUGAAUUCAUUUUUGUGUCAG